rnacentral:tRNA from 3 species
GCUCGGAUGGUGGAACUGGUAGACACGCAGGACUUAAAAUCCUGUGCCCUCAACAGGCGUGCGGGUUCGAUUCCCGCUCCGAGUACAA